rnacentral:rRNA from 1 species
UACGGGGGGGGUAAGCGUUGUUCGGAAUUACUGGGCGUAAAGGGCUCGUAGGCGGCCAACUAAGUCGGACGUGAAAUCCCUCAGCUUAACUGGGGAACUGCGUCCGAUACUGGAUGGCUUGGAUUUGGGAGAGGGAUGCGGAAUUCCAGGUGUAGCGGUGAAAUGCGUAGAUAUCUGGAGGAACACCGGUGGCGAAGGCGACAUCCUGGACCAAUAUUGACGCUGAGGAGCGAAAGCCAGGGGAGCAAACGGG